GUGCUUAUGGUGUAGUGGUUAUCACAUCCGCUUCACAAGCGGAAGGUCCCAAGCUCGAAACCUGGCAAGUACA